rnacentral:rRNA from 1 species
UGGCGGACGGGUGCGUAACACGGUAGGUAAUUUACCUUCCGGCGGGGGACAACAGUCCGAAAGGAUUGCUAACUACCAGCAUACGUCGAGCGCAGCAUCUCCGGAAUCUUGUACAGGGAAAGCAUGGCCUCUCCAUUGGCAAGCUGUCAUCCGGAAAGCAUGCAACCUGCGGCCCAUCAAGCUUGUUGGUAGAGGUAACGGAUCACCAAGGCUAAGACGGGUAGCUGGUCUGAGAGGAUGAUCAGCCACACUGGGACUGCGACACGGCCCAGACUCCUACGGGAGGCAGCAGUGGGGAAUAUUGGAGACAAUAGGGCGAAAGCCUGAUCCAGCCAUGCCGCGUGAGUGAUGAAGGACUUAGGGAUUGUAAAGCUCUUUCGCCAGGGACGAUAAUGACGGUACCUGGAUAAGAAGCCCCGG